UAGGGAAUCUUCGGCAAUGGACGAAAGUCUGACCGAGCAACGCCGCGUGAGUGAAGAAGGUUUUCGGAUCGUAAAACUCUGUUGGUAGAGAAGAACGUUGGUGAGAGUGGAAAGCUCAUCAAGUGACGGUAACUACCCAGAAAGGGACGGCUAACUACGUGCCAGCAGCCGCGGUAAUACGUAGGUCCCGAGCGUUGUCCGGAUUUAUUGGGCGUAAAGCGAGCGCAGGUGGUUUAUUAAGUCUGGUGUAAAAGGCAGUGGCUCAACCAUUGUAUGCAUUGGAAACUGGUAGACUUGAGUGCAGGAGAGGAGAGUGGAAUUCCAUGUGUAGCGGUGAAAUGCGUAGAUAUAUGGAGGAACACCGGUGGCGAAAGCGGCUCUCUGGCCUGUAACUGACACUGAGGCUCGAAAGCGUGGGGAGCAAACAGGAUUAGAUACCCUGGUAGUUCACGCCGUAAACGAUGAGUGCUAGAUGUAGGGAGCUAUAAGUUCUCUGUAUCGCAGCUAACGCAAUAAGCACUCCGCCUGGGGAGUACGACC
rnacentral:rRNA from 1 species